GUCACUGUGGUAUAAUGGUUUGAGUAUUGGACUAUGACUCCGGAGACCAGGGUUCGAAUCCCCCGUUCAGCCG